ensembl:misc_RNA Metazoa_SRP Metazoan signal recognition particle RNA
GCCAGGCAUGGUGGCGCAUGCCUGUAGUCCCAGCUACUUCGGAGGCUGAGGCAGGAGAAUCGCUUGAAUCCGGGAGGCAGAGGUUGCAGUGAGCUGAGAUUGUACCACUGCACUCCAGCCUGGGUGACAGAGUGAGACUCCGCCUCAC